UACCUCGUCCCGAUGGUGAACUGCCUA
rnacentral:piRNA from 1 species